rnacentral:rRNA from 1 species
GAUGAACGCUAGCGGCAGGCCUAAUACAUGCAAGUCGAACGAUAUUAAGAGGUUUGCUUCUUAUGAAAGUGGCGCACGGGUGCGUAACGCGUAUGCAACCUACCUUAAUCAGGGGGAUAGCCCGAAGAAAUUCGGAUUAAGACCGCAUAAAAACACAGGAUAGCAUUAUCCAAUGUUCAAAUAUUUAUAGGAUUAAGAUGGGCAUGCGUGUCAUUAGCUAGUUGGCGGGGUAACGGCCCACCAAGGCGACGAUGACUAGGGGAUCUGAGGGGAUGACCCCCCACACUGGUACUGGGACACGGACCAGACUCCUACGGGAGGCAGCAGUAAGGAAUAUUGGUCAAUGGAGGGAACUCUGAACCAGCCAUGCCGGGUGCAGGAAGACAGCCCUCUGGGUCAUAAACUGCUGUUAUUCGGGAAUAAACCUUUCUGCGUGUAGGAAGCUGAAGGUACCGAAGGAAUAAGGAGCGGCUAACUCCGUG